CUUGAGUUCACUAAUCCUAUAGCAGUUUCCCCAAAGAAUGUGUAAGACUUUACUUACAGUUUCUAACCUAUUAAAAAACAACAACAACAAACCUGUUUAUGUGAUAUAAUUACAGGAGGGCAUCCAACCUGAACGUGGGUAACAGCCAUGUGUUGGUCAGCACAGCUGUCCUGUCCCCACAUGUGUGCAUCAGGCACAGUGCCUGUGUGAAUGACAGAGAUUCCGGCCUCAUCUGCCUCUCCGUCUCCCAGGAUGCUUCCUACGUUGAUCUCUCACAGUGCCACAGGCUGAGGAGCUCACCUCACUGCUUUGCAAGUGUACAAGAGUGACCAGUAAUGAUCUCUAGACCAGAAUUUGAACAUGCACAUCCUUGAGGCCACCAGUGAAAAGACUGUAAGGUCAUAUAGCUUAUACCAUUUCAAGGAGUCAUUGUCUAACCUGGAGGUAUCCCUGGCGGUGCUGAGAUACCUGUGUGGGGCUGAGGCAUGGAAGCAGCGGUACACGCAGCGGUGGUGAUGGUGUAGACACACACCCCCAGAAAAAGGGAAGGGGGAGCAAGCUAUUUUAUUCUCAGGAAGCCUGAAGGGUAUGCUGCUGAGAGGAAGCUACAGCAGCAAGUGACACCCUCUUCAACAGUUUGCCAGGAUGGACUGGGGCAGCCCUGGAGUUGCAGUUCAGGAAUACAGAAGGUUCAGAUGUUCGGAAUGUCCGUGAAAGGCUGGCCCUGACCCGCCUGAUGUAGGGACAUGAUUCAUCUCCAGGCUCAAGCCCAUCAUUCAAAGAAAACACCGGAAGAGACUAGGUGUUCUGUGAAAUGGCGUAUUCCGAAGUCUCUGUCACUGAGAGAAGGAUGUAAGCGCAGGAUCAAAGCAUCAUCUUCAAAGAAGGAGCUGUGUGAUCUCUGUCUCUGAAAAUCUCCUCUGUUGACCUCUCAUCGAAGCCAACUUCCUCUGCUUAGUCAUCUUGCUUACUUCACCUAGCACAGUGCCAGUCCAGCUCUACAUCAUGAUCUCCAAGCUCCAGUAACUGCCACCAACUGACAACAGUCUCCAUAUCUCUUCUGGCAAACUCUCACAUGGAAGAGACUUUUCAGACCAUAUCAUGCUUUUCUCACAAUGGAGCAGCAGCUUUGGGUUGGAGAAGGGUCAUGGGGUAUAGAGGAGUGCAGAAUAGAUCCUUUAGAAGGGGCCAUGGAUGGGGCAGACAAUGAGACCUAUUUAUUAUAUCCUCGCUUAUCUAUGUUUCCAUCACAAUCUGUAUCAUGCUUUAUGAUCUAGUCUAGGAUACACAAGAGGGCGGGUAAUCAUAGCAGUGAAUCACUGUGUAGAGUGUGGUGUCUGCUCUAAAUGGGUUUAUAAUCUGGUUGAUGAGAUAAGACACAGCCCAAGAAAAGGAAACGAGUCAUACCAGGCAGUGCCUGAUGAGCAUCAGAUGACUAGCACAGACACUAGGGGUUUUUAAAGAGUUAGAGAAGGGAGAGAUCAUUGUGGGUAAGAAAGUUCAAGGAGGAUUUCCCAAGAGAGGUGGGGACAGAAGUGGGUCUUGAGGGAUGGGAAGGAUUCGGAGAGAAAGGGGAGAGGAGAGGCUUUCUAGAUUGGAGUGGAGGAGGGGAGAGUGGGAAUGCAUGAUGCAUGUUCAGGGCACAAUGAAUAGGCCAACGUGUUCUGGGCGCAAGAUGUGUGUUGAAAAGUACUAGAAGCUAAGACAGGAAAAGAAGGGAGAAACAAAAUUGUGUAUGACCUUGAAUACCAAACUAAAUAUUUUGGAUUUGAUUUUGAACAUUUUAUUAAUGAGGUUUGAGCAGGGCUUGGCAUGGUCAGGGCAGUGCUCUAGGACGACCCACUGAAGUGAAGUAUGCCAGAGGCC
rnacentral:lncRNA from 1 species